CCUACGGGCGGCAGCAGUGGGGAAUAUUGGACAAUGGGGGCAACCCUGAUCCAGCCAUGCCGCGUGUGUGAAGAAGGCCCUCGGGUUGUAAAGCACUUUCAGUGAGGAAGAACGCCUGGUGGUUAAUACCCAUCAGGAAAGACAUCACUCACAGAAGAAGCACCGGCUAACUCCGUGCCAGCAGCCGCGGUAAUACGGAGGGUGCGAGCGUUAAUCGGAAUUACUGGGCGUAAAGCGCGCGUAGGUGGCUUGAUAAGCCGGUUGUGAAAGCCCCGGGCUCAACCUGGGAACGGCAUCCGGAACUGUCAAGCUAGAGUGCAGGAGAGGAAGGUAGAAUUCCCGGUGUAGCGGUGAAAUGCGUAGAGAUCGGGAGGAAUACCAGUGGCGAAGGCGGCCUUCUGGACUGACACUGACACUGGGGUGCGAAAGCGUGGGUAGCAAACAGGAUUAGAUACCCUUGUAGUC
rnacentral:rRNA from 1 species